rnacentral:rRNA from 1 species
AGUGGCGAACGAGGUAGUAAUACAUAGGAACAUCCCCCGAAGUCGUGAAUAAUCCAUCGAAAGGUGGACUAAUACACGAUGGCUCGUAAGAGUAAAGUUUUAACGCUUCGGGAAUGGCCUGUGCGAUAUCAGCUAGUUGGCAGUGUAAAAGACUACCAAGGCUAUGACGUCUAGGGGAGCUGAGAGGCUGACCCCCACCGAUGGUACUGAGACACGGACCAUACACCUACGGGUGGCUGCAGUCGAGAAUCUUCCGCAAUGGAUGAAAGUCUGACGGAGCGACGCCGCGUGAUUGAUGAAGUCCCUUUGGGACGUAAAGAUCUUUUAUGAGGGAAGAAGUUUAUUGACUGUACCUCAUGAAUAAGAGGCUCCUAAUCUCGUGCCAGCAGGAGCGGUAAUACGAGAGCCUCGAGCGUUAUCCGGAAUUAUUGGGCGUAAAGGGUGCGUAGGUGGUUCUGUUAGUCUUUUGUCAAAUUCUUCGGCUUAACCGAGGGUCCGCAAAAGAUACGGCAGGACUUGAAAGUAGGAGAGGCGUACGGAACUCUAGGUGUAGGGGUGAAAUCCGUUGAUAUCUAGGGGAACACCAAAUGCGAAGGCAGUACGCUGGCCUAUAUUUGACACUGAAGCACGAAAGCGUGGGUAGCGAAUGGGAUUAGAUACCCCAGUAGUCCACGCCCUAAACCAUCUUCUCUCGGUUUUCGGAGUAUCGACCCUCUGAGAGCCUGAGCUAACGCGUUAAGAGAAGCGCCUGGGAAGUACGGCCGCAAGGCUGAAACUCAAAGGAAUUGACGGGGGCCCGCACAAGCGGUGGAGCAUGUGGUUUAAUUCGACGCAACGCGAAGAACCUUACCUGGGCUCGAAAUGUACAGGAAUCCGGUGGAAACAUCGGCGUCCCGCAAGGGACCUGUAUAUAGGUGCUGCAUGGCUGUCGUCAGCUCGUGUCGUGAGAUGUUGGGUUAAGUCCCGCAACGAGCGCAACCCUUACUUCCAGUUGCCAUCAUUCAGUUGGGCACUCUGGCAGAACCGCCUCGGAUAACGGGGAGGAAGGUGGGGAUGACGUCAAGUCCUCAUGGCCUUUAUGUCCAGGGCUACACACGUGCUACAAUGGGCGGUACAGAGGGUUGCAAACCCGUGAGGGGGAGCUAAUCGGAAAAAGCCGGCCUCAGUUCGGAUCGUAGUCUGCAACUCGACUACGUGAAGCUGGAAUCGCUAGUAAUCGCGGAUCAGAACGCCGCGGUGAAUACGUUCCCGGGCCUUGUACACACCGCCCGUCACAUCACGAAAGUGGGUUGUACUAGAAGCCGGUGAGCUAACUCGCAAGAGGAGCAGCCGUCCAAGGUGUAAUUCAUGAUUGGGGUGAAG